UACGGAGGGAGCUAGCGUUAUUCGGAAUUACUGGGCGUAAAGCGCACGUAGGCGGCUUUGUAAGUAAGAGGUGAAAGCCCAGAGCUCAACUCUGGAAUUGCCUUUUAGACUGCAUCGCUUGAAUCAUGGAGAGGUCAGUGGAAUUCCGAGUGUAGAGGUGAAAUUCGUAGAGAUGUGGAGGAACACCGAUGGCGAAGGCAGCCCCCUGGGCCGGUGCUGACGCUGAGGCGCGAAGGCGUGGGGAGCGAACGGG
rnacentral:rRNA from 1 species